GAUCCUGGCUCAGAUUGAACGCUGGCGGCAGGCUUAACACAUGCAAGUCGAACGGUAACAUAAAGAAGCUUGCUUCUUUGAUGACGAGUGGCGGACGGGUGAGUAAUGCUUGGGAAUCUAGCUUAUGGAGGGGGAUAACUACGGGAAACUGUAGCUAGUACCGCGUAAUAUCGAAAGAUUAAAGUGUGGGACCUUCGGGCCACAUGCCAUAAGAUGAGCCCAAGUGGGAUUAGGUAGUUGGUGAGGUAAGGG
rnacentral:rRNA from 1 species